rnacentral:rRNA from 1 species
UACGUAGGGAGCAAGCGUUGUCCGGAAUCAUUGGGCGUAAAGCGCGCGUAGGUGGCCAUGUAAGUCCGCUGUGAAAGUCAAAGGCUCGAACCUUUGAAAGCCGGUGGAUACUGCAUGGCUAGAGUACGGAAGAGGCGAGUGGAAUUCCUGGUGUAGGACGGUGGAAUGCGCAGAUAUCAGGAGGAACACCAAUAGCGAAGCAGCUCGCUGGACGUUACUGACACUAAGGCGCGAAAGCGUGGGAGCGAACAGG